CUUGCCAGGUGUAAGCUUUCCAGAGUGGGUUCACAUGUGGUAAGGAGUGAAUGGGACGGUGUCAGACUCUCCACUGGUGCCACAGCCACCACAGAGAACCUCCAGGUCACCAGGUUUGCUCUGUGCUCACUGGUGCUGAGCACUGAUGGGCAGGGGCAGAAGGGGAGCAGAGGCUGCAAUUCCUGUCACAUCCCAGCCUCCAGAGCCUGGCUGAGCAUGGAGUGACCUUCAGCCUCUCUGGGGCCCAGGGGCUGCUUUUGUACACACAGCAGGCACCAAAGAUGAUCCAGGUUGUGGAUUACAUGUGAACUUCCAUGCAUUUUACUGAACUCCACUACUGUGAAUUCAG